UACGAAGGGGGCUAGCGUUGCUCGGAUUUACUGGGCGUAAAGGGCGCGUAGGCGGAUGUUUAAGUCGGGGGUGAAAGCCCGGGGCUCAACCUCGGAAUUGCCUUCGAUACUGGACGUCUUGAGUACGGGAGAGGUGAGUGGAACUCCGAGUGUAGAGGUGAAAUUCGUAGAUAUUCGGAAGAACACCAGUGGCGAAGGCGACUCACUGGCCCGUUACUGACGCUGAGGCGCGAAAGCGUGGGGAGCAAACAGG
rnacentral:rRNA from 1 species